rnacentral:rRNA from 1 species
UACAUAGGGUGCGAGCGUUAUUCGGAAUUACUGGGCGUAAAGCGUGUGUAGGCGGUUAUUUAAGUCGGAUGUGAAAGCCCCGGGCUCAACCUGGGAAUUGCAUUCGAGACUGAAUAGCUAGGGUGCGGUAGAGGGAAGCGGAAUUUCCGGUGUAGCGGUGAAAUGCGUAGAUAUCGGGAGGAACAUCAGUGGCGAAGGCAGCUCGCUGGGACGGUACUGACGCUAAGGCGCGAAAGCGUGGGGAGCAAACAGG